UUCAGAGGAAUUACAAAGAUCAAGAUGAAUUCAGUGAGGCUUCCCAUAGGACUGUUCAAAGAUCUCCAGAAAUUCAGUGGAGUUUCAGGAAAAGUAUACCAAGUCAUGUGAGAGAGACACUUUGGGCCUAAGAAAUGAAGGCCAAUUCAUGCGAAGUCAGUCCUCUUAUAACCACAGUAGGAUAGAACUUGUUUCUGAAACCUUCAGAAGGACCAGCCCCUAGACAAACAGCUCCAGUGAAGUCAGCUCUAAGGACAUAUUGAGGUAAGAACUAGGGAAAAUUCACAUGUUCUAUUUCCCUAUUGCUUUUAAAAUCCAAUUCAAAAUGUAUUGCCUAUCAAGAGAGAAGUCUCUAUUACUUUGUGAAAAUGAUUUAUACGUCUCCGGAUAUGUAUUUUUUGGUCCCCCUUUUCCCCUCCCAUUUACUCCUUCAGCCACAGGUAAAUACUUUUUGCCAUGACCUCUCUCUAUCUGUGAAAUCAAACUAAUAUGCUAACUUUUGUUUACUUUUCUUGUGCAACACUGCUGAUGGGAAACAUUUGGUCCUCCUUCAUCUAUUUCUG